GAGGCUAAACAAAAGGGGGAAGGCUGGAAGCAAGGAGGGAGGCAAGAAUUUGGUUCUUCAUGGAGAGGUUUUCAGCAUCUCUCGAAUACCAAGCUGGGUAUAUUUGAGCUUUAUUGAUUUUCUGAGUGUUUAUUUUCCCCAUUCCUUAUUCUAUUUCUGUUUAGGACUCUUUCGAAUCUGGUUGUUGUUAAGAAAAGUUUUAUUCAAUAAGAAGAUUGAGCUAUUUGAUUCGUUCUCUGUUUUUUUUUUUCAUAUUGCCAUCUGUUUUCUCUCUCGAUUGGAAGCUGAAUAAGAAGGGAAACAGAACAGGGGCCUAACACAUUCAUAGUUUUUUAUAUCUUUAUUAUUUAUUGUUCUUAGCUCAAUGCCCUAAUUUUUCUGUUAAGUUUGUUUUUCUCCACAUGUUUACUCUUGGAAUGGAGUAAAGAGUAAUGUAGAGUAAUAUUGUUAGUUCAAUCUUGAAGAGAUUAUGAACUAAAUGUAACAAGUUUCUUUCAUUUCCUCCCAUCUCACAAAAACAUGUAGAAAUCUUUUAAAUUUUUAUUUUGGUAAAACAUUUCUUCUAGUUGUCUAUAUUACUAGGUUUACAAAUGGAUGUUAAGACAUAUUUAUGAUUUACAGAUUCAUUACAAACGGAGCUACAUUCAAUUUAAAUAUAUCAUAUUAGCUCUUACUGUUAUCUCUAUAGUGUUUUCUGUCAUGACAAGAAAUAAAUUUUGUCAUCUUCCAUUGUUGAAAGUGAGAUGUCUAACUUCUUUUUAGCUUGCAUUCUUCUAUUAAUUAGGAGUAGGUUGCUAUUCUAUUAUAUACUAAUUUUAAAAUUUUAUCAAAACUUGAUUUUAGGUGGUCGUGAGGCUUAAACCUACAACCAACCCCACAACAUUGUUGAAGUUAAAAGUUUAUGAAACUACAUUAAUUUGGUGGAGAAAAGAGAGAUAUUGAGCUAAUCUUCUAUAGGUUUUUCAAAGGUUAAUGGUCCCAUAUGGUGGUCAUAGUUUUUUUUUUUUUUUUUUUUUCAGUUAAAUGGGUUGUGGGUGUUCUUGUAGAAUGUGUUUCUCUGCUUUUUUUUCCCUUCUAAUUGUCAUUUUACUACUAGUAGAUUUGAUUAUUUCAAUUAUGACUUGACUAUGGGGUUGAUAUUUUUCUAGGAUCAGUUUAGAUUAAAAUUAAUAAUUUGUUCAUUUUAACUUAUAAAGUUUCACGUAACAUGUGCAUCUUUGAAUAUUAGUGUUAUGUACAAUAAAACUUAGCUAAUUAGUUGUAGAGACUGAACAUACAAGCUAAAUUGACUAUUAUAAGUACUUCUUCACUUGAUUGUAAAGUUAUUGUUUGUAUGAAGAAGGGGCAGAUCUCGAAUGAUUCCAUGUUGUGGUCAUAGUUUGUUUGUUUUGUGUAUUGUAUCUAGUUCUGUGCAUGAUUGUCAUAGCAUAGAUAGAGACCUAAUUGACUAUGCUAUCGCAUUUUUCAGUGGCCUGCAUUUGAAAAUCCUUUCCUAAAAACCCACAAAAUUCAGAUGUGUUUUCUAGUUAUAACAAUUCAUUGCAAUAUUUUCUUCUCCUUCUCUUCAAUGUCACAAAGGUUUAUUAGAUGAUGAAAACUUAUAGUUUAAGUCUACAAAUUUUUUGGGAAAGUUAGCAAAAACAAAAUCCAAUCAACCAAGUUUGCCAUGUUAAUGGAAGGUCAAUAUUUUGAUAGCCUCAUCUUCAUUGGAAUAACAAAACAUGAGAACGUUUUGUGAGCAUCUUCAGUCAAAAGAUAUGGAAGAUUGAAUUAGUAGACGGCCUUGAAAUGAAAGAAGGAGAAUACAAAUUUGUGUGGUUAACCAAGCUCCUUGGGGAUGUUUCAAUGUUGACAAAGCUCCUUGUGAAUAUUGACAUUCAAAGAGGUAUCAAUCAAAAGGUACAAAUCAACCUUCAAAAGAAACGUCUAUUGGGAGAAAAAUGGAAUCUUUGGGAUUACAAGUGAAAAAAGAAGGCUUGCAAAAUAUUUCAUCUACUUGGACAAAUAAACAUGAAAGAUACAUUACUUUAUUUUAUAUCAUUUGUAUACUUUGUUCUAGGAAAUGACAACAUUGUUUUUUUUUUUUUUUUUUUGUAAUUUUAAUUGAUUUAUAAAAUUUCAA